ACCAGGGUCCCAGAAGAGCGAUGCUACACUCACACAGCACAGGGCUCUUGGCUAUCCAAGAGGUGAGAUCACUGGGACCUGUCCUGUGGGCAGAAGCCUCCCUCCCUCAGCUGUUUUGCAUGGCUCACUCCCAGCCCCUGAAGCUACUGAGGAGAGCAGCUACAAAAAGGCAGCUGGGGAGGAAGAUGCUGGGCAGCUCAGAGCUCAGGCACAUGGACAUGGGGUCCCAGGCUCUCCUCCUCUUUUUCCUGUUGCUCUGGAUCCCAGAUGCCCGAGGGGUCAUUGUGCUGACCCAGUCUCCAGCCUCCCUGUCUGUGUCUGCAGGAGAGAGAGUGAUCAUGUCCUGCAGGGCCAGUCAGAGCAUUAGCAAUAACUUACACUGGUACCAACAGAAGCCAGGCCAGGCUCCUAGACUCCUCAUUAGAUAUGCUUCCACCCUACAUGACGGGGUCCCAUCGAGGUUCAGUGGCAGUGGCUCUGGGACAGAUUUCUCCCUCACAAUCAGCAGUGUGGAGGCUGAGGAUGCUGCAGUCUACUUUUGUCAGCAGAGCAAUAGUUAUCCUCCCACAGUGCUACAGCUCUGA